UGUGAUUUUCAUCUCAACAGGCAUUGUUGUCACCUCAGGUGUAUUAUUUAUGCAACGCAGUAAAUAUCGUCGUUUGAGUUUGUCAGGGGAAAAUGGUGAAUAAGAAUUUGACCUAUAUUUAUUAAAUAUCAACUUAAAUAAGGAGAAUUAAUAAGGAUCAACGUGGCGGAAAUGUUCCAUUAAUCCUCACAGGAAAGCAUACCGAUACGGUAGGGAAAGAUGAUCAACAUGGGAGUAAUAUUCCAUUAAUCCUUACAGGAAAGAACACCGAUCC